AUACCUUAACAAUAGCUUAAU
rnacentral:misc_RNA from 1 species